CUUUCGCUGAAAUAUCCUUUGGUCGAAAUUUCGUCCACCGAAAUAUCUUAAAACUGCCUUAAUCUGGUCCUGUUUGUACGUAUUGUUCUCACGUCGUAUAGGUACUAGUGUACUACACAACAUGAUAACAUGCGAGCAAUCGGUUUUUCAGGGCAAAUGCCGUAAAACCAGUAAAACAGUCUUUAAAUAUGUAUAUAGUUUGGUCUUACUAAACAAAAAUGUUUCGUAUUUUGUAUAAUAUUAUAAUUUUAAAUUUUAAAUAUUUUAUAAAAAAAAAAAAUGUAUUUAAGAAAUAUUUUACCUAAAACAUGG